GACGAACGCUGGCGGCGUGCUUAACACAUGCAAGUCGAACGGAAAGGCCUCUUUCGGGGGGUACUCGAGUGGCGAACGGGUGAGUAACACGUGAGUAACCUGCCCUUGACUUUGGGAUACUUCAGGAAACUGGGGCUAAUACCGGAUAGGAGCUCCUGCUGCAUGGUGGGGGUUGGAAAGUUUCGGCGGUUGGGGAUGGACUCGCGGCUUAUCAGCUUGUUGGUGGGGUAGUGGCUUACCAAGGCUUUGACGGGUAGCCGGCCUGAGAGGGUGACCGGCCACAUUGGGACUGAGAUACGGCCCAGACUCCUACGGGAGGCAGCAGUGGGGAAUAUUGCACAAUGGGUGGAAGCCUGAUGCAGCAACGCCGUGUGCGGGAUGACGGCCUUCGGGUUGUAAACCGCUUUCGCUCAUGACGAAGCUUUGUGUGACGGUAGUGGGUAAAGAAGCACCGGCUAACUACGUG
rnacentral:rRNA from 1 species